CCUACGGGAGGCUGCAGUGAGGAAUAUUGGUCAAUGGGCUUACGCCUGAACCAGCCAAGUCGCGUGAGGGAAGACUGCCCUAUGGGUUGUAAACCUCUUUUGUCAGGGAGCAAUUGGCGCUACGUGUAGCGUUAUCGAGAGUACCUGAAGAAAAAGCAUCGGCUAACUCCGUGCCAGCAGCCGCGGUAAUACGGAGGAUGCGAGCGUUAUCCGGAUUUAUUGGGUUUAAAGGGUGCGUAGGCGGAAUGCCAAGUCAGCGGUAAAAUCGCGGGGCUCAACCUCGCUCCGACGUUGAAACUGGCGGUCUUGAGUGGGCGAGGAGUAUGCGGAAUGCGUGGUGUAGCGGUGAAAUGCAUAGAUAUCACGAAGAACUCCGAUUGCGAAGGCAGCAUACCGGCGCCCAACUGACGCUGAAGCACGAAAGCGUGGGUAUCGAACAGGAUUAGAUACCCCUGUAGUC
rnacentral:rRNA from 1 species